UCGUCCCCUCAUCUACUAUCGUUGAGCUGUGCGAGCCGAGAGAGAGUGGACAAGAAAGGAAGAAAGUUGUCCCCGCAGCCUAUUUCACCAUUGCCGCCGGAAGCUCGGACCAAAGCCGAGCCUGGCUGUUCGUCCUCUGAGCGAUUGGGGAGAGGACUGCGUCUAACAAAGACUUUAGCGCGGGAUCGACCAUCCGAUGUGAGAUCUCCCUCUCCACUGGUGAAUAUCAUGGACGCCGGUAUUCGCCGUGACCCAAGGCCAGUACCUCGGCGGGACCCGCGCGCUAUCGUCGUCCGGUCGCCUCCACGGCCUUGUCGCUGGAGUCCCGUUGAGAGCCUCUGCUUCACCACUGUAAGUAAAUCUGGUUUCUUUACCAUGGUUGUAGCGCCCGACUCCCGCAGAAUCGUCCAUAGCAUCGGCCGGGGUUGCUUCAACCAUGGCGCCAUCUCCCUGGGCGUUUGCGCCGCUGGCAUCACUAUCGGGUGUGGGAAGAAGAAUGGUGGUGCGUUGGACGGGAUUUGUGCGGCUAGGAUUAGACUGGGGUACCGGUUAGUUCCAGUGGUUGUAUGGCAUCGAGAUCGGAUUCAACGGACGUGAUGUGACCGUGCUUCAUUAAACGUUGACCGUAGAUCGUGCGGGGAAUGGCCUGGAUCGAAUCUGGCGUAUCCCUUCAAAUCGUUAGAUCGGAGCCGUAGAUUUCGGAUCUAACGACCAUAGUCACGUAUUGAUUCAUUAAUGCCAAGAUCUAAUCUGGGUCGUCCGUUUUUGAUCAGGUGGCUUGGUGUGAAGGAUACCCCUUCGCGGCUGCAGCUUUUCUAAAGAGCCCCUGCCCUUUUGUCAUAUCAACCUGCAGUCCAUAGGAUAUGUAAUAUAAUUACAGACAAGUCCUGUAAACUUAUAAAUAGAACCCUGAACUCUCUGGUUAUUGUGCGCGCAGUUCUGAAGUCUGAUAAAAUAGGAAAAAUGAUUUAGGAAAUUGAUUUCUAGUGCCAAAAUAAUUCCAGAACUUGUAUAAUUCGUAGAAAAUUCAUAUUAGCUCCUUUUUAACCCAUUCUAGUUGCAAUAACUUUGUAUUAGUAUUGUCUCUCAACUAGUAACACUGUUUAACCAUGAAACUUGAAUCAAAAUUGUUCAUUUAAAUUAAUCUAUUCUAGGUGCUUAAUAACUUCAGAAAUUCAUAAUUUCUUAACCGUAACUCCGAAUUUAGCGAUUCUUGUUCCUACGAUCUCGUUACGAUACAUAGAUUAUUAUUAUACAUUUUAUUCUUAUGUUUGAUGUGAUGUUAAUUUUGCCUAUACCAUGUUUGAUUGUAUUGCUACGUUUAGCAGUGAGGCCACGAGAAUCUGAAGAGCAAGUUGGUACCUGGAAUCUCAAGUGCCAGACAAGUUGUGUCCUUGAUCACUUCCUUUUUACCCAGUAAUGUUCUUAUUAAUCAUAAUGAUCUUCAUAGGUUAAUUUUGAUAGGACCCAAUAGGUUACCCUAGAUUUUGACUAUCUUUAUACGUUGUUUCACCACUGGUUUUACUACUAAAUUUUUGGGUAGUACAUGAUAUUGCUUUAUGUGGCUUUGGGUAUAGAGAUAUCCAUCACUCAUUGUUAAACUUUUUUAUUAUCUGUUUAUUAUUUACUAUUCAUGAUAAGAUCAUUAUGUUAAUGGGAACAUGGAGAACCACCCGGGAAAACAGUGCUACCACAAGCGUUUAAUGGGACGCCCUUGGCUGAUUAACUAGGAAAGCUAGUGGAUGACUACCUUACCCAAAAGGGGCAAGGGAAGUAGGGGAGUGGUCAGUGUAGGGAGGUCCUUGGGUUGAUUUUGCUGCGACGGCGGUCAGACGAGGGAUUCCUGCACUGGAGCUUCCUAUAAACUGUAGCGGGUUUUCUGAAGCUAGUGGAACUUUGUAAAGGCCUCGUAGUGGUACCUUACCUCGCUUCCUUGGUAGAGGUGUAUGGGGUCUGAUCAACUCUGUGGCAAAUGGGUAACACGAUUUGUGGGUAAAGAUGUCCUCUGCAGAGUGUAAAACUGGUAUACUAGUCGUGCUCACGGUCAUGAGCGGCUCGGAUACUCACAUGAUUAAUUUAUGGAACUUAAACUUAAUUUGUCAUUUGCAUCGCAUUGGGAUUAUUUUUAUUAUUACUUUUACUUAUUAUUACUAUGGUUUGGUAUCUACUUACACUUAGUAACUGCUAAUAAAAUUGUGACCAACUUAUAAAAGCAAUGCUCAGCUUCAGCCUUUAUUACAUUGAUUUGCCUUACACUCCACAUGAACUCCCACCUUUGGUGAGUUCAUGCACAUUAUUCCCCACAACUUGUUGAGCGAUGAACAUGUGUGAGCUCACCCUUACUGUCUCACACCCCCACAGGAGAACAGGUGGUCGAAGAGGAGCCGCCUAACUCUGAGGCUUUCGACUUGAUCUAGGUGUCAUAUCCCAGUCAGCUUUGUGGCGCCAGGGAAUAAUAUAUAGUUCGCUUUAUUUUAUCAUUUAUUUCUGUAAGACUUCCGCUAUGUAAUAAGUACAUUUAUGAUAUUUAUGACAUUUAUCUCUAUGCACUCUGUUAUUAUAUGUGUUGUCUUCUCUGGCGCAUAUAUGAGAUGCACCCGACUUUGUCCCUUAAAGUCCGGGUGUGACAGUUAGUGUAUUUCAACUUUUAUAAUUGGACCAAGCCAUGAUUCCAUGUUUUUCAUGAUCUUUUUACCAAUUUCUUCCUCUCUACUUAAAUGACCUAAUUAGGGUUGUUCUAGGGUUUUAACAUUUUUCCCCUUUUGAAUGCAUGAUAUGAUUUAGGCAUGAUCCUUAAGAUAAAAAGACUUAGGGUUUUCGAACCCAUGUUGUUGUAGGUGAGGAAACAACAGACUUUUGCUAUUUUUGUUCGAAGGUGAUUCCCAAGGAUGAGCCCCAGUAGUGAAGUAAGUCACAGGAGGAUGUUGACCUCCCACUUUGAAAACAAUAAACUUUUGUGCGGGAGGGUGCUUUGCCUCCUAGGUCUGUAAUAAUAAUACUACUUAUGCACUCUUAGUACCUGGUAUUGUAUUAAUAACACUACUCUCUGUCUAUAUAUUGAAUGAAUGUAAAUUAAGUUAUGGUAAUUUGCUUUCGCUUAUUCUUUCCUCUGAUGUGAUGUAAUAUCUGUGUGACGGGUGAAGCGCUCUUGGGCGAAAUGAUGAAGAUACAAUACCAAACUUGUUGAGUG
rnacentral:lncRNA from 1 species